AGUUUAGAUUAUCCACCUUUGAAAAGGUAUUUUUCAAUGCCUCCUAAUUGGAUUAUUGUGAAAUUUUGGAAGUAAGUGCAUCUUCAUGCUGAGCUUAUAAUGCAUAAAUUCACUAAUUUGAAGACGAAUUAAAAUUUUGGUUAAUUUUCAAGUGGAGGGAGGUUGCCCAUGGUGGCAGUUUUGGUCACUCAACUUUGAAGGAGCAUUUCUCGCGGCUUAGAUACUGGAUUGAAUUUAAAUUUAUUGGAGCAGAAGCGCAGUUAAGUUAACUUUGCAAAAAACUAAAAAUCAACCUAUUUGGAGUUAAUCACCAUUUUUGGCAAAGUUUGGAGUAGAAAGGAUUUGCUGCCUUCAAUUCUUGGGCGUUAUCAAGGUACCUUCGCUUUUAUCUUUCUUUAGCCUCACUUUUACUUUUAUUUUUAUAAUAAUUUGUAACUUUUAUAUCUCAACUUUUAGAUUUUAAUUUUAAACUUUUAACCUUUAAUAUUUUUUCUUUUACUUUUAACUUUACUUUUAAGAU
rnacentral:lncRNA from 1 species